CUCGGUCGAAAAAUUACUGUUGUAUUUGCAGAGGAAAACAGAAAGAAGCCAUCAGAAAUGAGGGCAAGAGAUCAAUAUAGGUACUCAUGGGAAUUUUAGCUUUGAGCAAAUAUUUGGCUUGGUGACUAGUUAAGUUUGGCUUGCACUUCUCACAUGCAUACAUAAAUUCAUCUAUGUGAAAAUAAUACAGCCACAAAAGCACAUUGAUGAAUACACACACAUUUUGUCGAUGUACUCGUUUUGUGUUUUGAUGUGUUGACAAUAAGCUUGUGGUUAGGCACCGAUCAUAUGACCGUGGGCAGUCUUCUCUCCGUUAUUCCCAAUCACCACUCUAUAGACGAAGUUAUUCUCGUAGUCCAGAUUAUUAUUCUCCUUCUCCACGGAGGAGGCACUAUUCAAGGUAUACAUACUGUCAUUUUUGUUGGUUUUCAUCUGAUUUUACUUUUGCAGGUUGUGUGUUUGCUAAGAACAUAAUCUAUUGUCUUACUUCAGGUCAGUAUCUCCAAGAGAUAGAAGAUACGGGGAGCGGUCUUACUCAAGGUCACCAUAUGGGUCGAGGAGCAGAAGCCAAAGCCCACGUAGGAGCAGGAGCCCCAGUCUAGGCUACUCUAGGUGACUGUUUGAAUUCUAUAUUACUCUGUGCAUUAUGAAACAACUUCUACUCUUGGAGUGGAGUUAGGAUGAUAACUCAAUUUCUGCUCUAUUUACUGGAUGCAUAGAGUAUAACUUGAUUUUAGUUUUUACUAUUUGACGUACAAAUGAUGGUUGACUGCAGAAGUGUUUUUUCUGGACUUGAUAAUUAAUCUUGAAUGCUUUGGGGUUCUGCCCACAAGAAUUUUCCGCCUGUAUUAUUUAUUAUCCCCUGAUUCCUGUUGUAAUUUUAGCGCAUAAAAUCCAUUCAUAGGCAGAGAUCUUCCCAAUUUGCCCACGGUCAUAUGAUCGGUGCCUACCACAAGUUUAUUGUUAACACACCAAAAUACAAAAUGAGUAUCUCCAAGAGAUAGAAGAUACUGGAAGGAGUUUUGCACAUUGUCACCAUAUGGGUCGAGGAGCAGAAGCCAAAGACCAUGUACGAGUAGGA
rnacentral:lncRNA from 1 species